GGUGAGAACUCCCGUCUCCAGGAUGACCCGGAACCAAGACUCUUCAGUCUACGGAACUCACAGGGUAGAGAUGUUACCACCAGGGCCCUCUAAGAAGCCAGAAGUUCUUCAGUGAGGAAAAUCUGGCUUCCAGCAGCAUGAGUAGCUCAUGGACUAAUUCAAGACUAGCCAAUCAGCUUCCAAAUUUGAAAGUCUCCUAACCCCUUAAAAAUCACGCCGAACCCUGGAUCAUAGAGACAGGUUUGAGAGUCUUGCCUCCUGUCUCCUUGUCUCCCGAUCUCGUGAAAAAGCUCUUUCUUUUUUCAAAAGCUGCUGCUGUAGUAUUGGCUUCUAUGCGCGUCAGGCGGCGAGCCGUAGCUGGGUAACACAGUCUCAAGACUUUUGGUCAGGAAUUGAUCAAGAGGUAUUUACUGAGUACUCGUGUGCUACGUGCAGCAGGUGCAGCCACGGAGGCAGACGGGGCCCCUGCUCUCCUGAAGCUUACACUCGAGUCUAGCCCACUUCCGCAACCACUGUGCACAACCGCUGUCCACAAUUCUCCUGGACAAUCUUACUUACUUCCUUGGCUUUACCCCGUGCAGCUGUUCCAUCUUGCAUCUUCUGAUGCAGGGCUUCACAUUGACUUAUCCAAUUAAUCAACAGUCAACAGAUCCUCCUAGAAAAGAAAGAAGAGGCUGAACGGCCCUUGGUCCAAAAGUUUGAAACAAGGCUAUGAGGAGAAUUUCCCUUCAAAGUGGAGUCAAUAACAGCAGGUAA